rnacentral:rRNA from 1 species
CCUACGGGUGGCAGCAGUGAGGAAUAUUGGUCAAUGGGCGCAAGCCUGAACCAGCCAAGCAGCGUGAAGGACGACUGCUCUACGGGUUGUAAACUUCUUUUAUAAAGGAAUAAAGUGAGGCACGUGUGCCUGUUUGAAAGUAUUUUAUGAAUAAGGAUCGGCUAACUCCGUGCCAGCAGCCGCGGUAAUACGGAGGAUUCGAGCGUUAUCCGGAUUUAUUGGGUUUAAAGGGUGCGUAGAUGGGUUGUUAAGUCAGUGGUGAAAGUUCGGGGCUCAACCGUAGAAGUGCCAUUGAUACUGGCUGCCUAGAGUACAGUUGAGGUAGGCGGAAUGCGUGGUGUAGCGGUGAAAUGCUUAGAGAUCACGAAGAACUCCGAUUGCGAAGGCAGCCUACUAAACUACCACUGACGUUGAGGCACGAAAGUGUGGGUAGCAAACAGGAUUAGAUACCCGAGUAGUC